UACUCGAGUGGCGAACGGGUGAGUAACACGUGGGUGAUCUGCCCUGCACUUCGGGAUAAGCCUGGGAAACUGGGUCUAAUACCGGAUAGGACGAUGGUUUGGAUGCCAUUGUGGAAAGUUUUUCGGUGUGGGAUGAGCUCGCGGCCUAUCAGCUUGUUGGUGGGGUAAUGGCCUACCAAGGCGUCGACGGGUAGCCGGCCUGAGAGGGCGACCGGCCACAUUGGGACUGAGAUACGGCCCAG
rnacentral:rRNA from 1 species